AGCGCAGGCUAACUCUGUGCCAGCAGCCGCGGUAAUACAGAGGGUGCAAGCGUUAAUCGGAUUUACUGGGCGUAAAGCGCGCGUAGGCGGCUAAUUAAGUCAAAUGUGAAAUCCCCGAGCUUAACUUGGGAAUUGCAUUCGAUACUGGUUAGCUAGAGUGUGGGCAGAGGAUGUGUAGAAUUCCCAGGUAGUAGCGGUGAACAUGCGUAGAGAUCUGGGAGGAAUACCCGAUGGCGAAGGACAGCCAUCUGGACCUU
rnacentral:rRNA from 1 species